GGCUUUAUGGCCUGGUGGUAUGAUUCUCGCCUAGGGUGCGAGAGGUCACGGGUUCAAUUCCCGUGCAAGCCA